UGUGCGUCAAGUAGACAAGCAAGUAGAGGAAUUGCUGCGUAGAAAACUGUGAUUUGGACAGCAGAUGGUAAUUGCUAGGAAUAUCCAGGAAGUCCAGCUAAACAAGUGAUAAGAUUGUUCUUGGUAUUUGGUUGAGCUGUAAAAUCAGAUUGCGGGAUAUACUCAAAACGUUCAUUUGAGAUAGUUAUCAGUGCACUAAACUGAGAGAGCGAGUGAUAGUAUAUCAGAUAUAGAUCAGUGUUUUUGUUCUUUUUUUCCCUCUUUUAACAAGCUGUAACGACUAGCUAGUCGAAUUUCAUGUACUCAUUACGUAUAUUUUACUUUGUUAUUUUGUCCUCAGAUUGUAUGCUGUGAGGCUUUCUUUGAUUUAUAGUGUGAAACAAUAGCGGGAUAUCCAUCUCGGAUUCCCUUUAAAUAAGUUUACUGGAUACUCAAAAUUCAUUUGUGUUGAAGAUGUAUGUUUUUGAAGCA